rnacentral:lncRNA from 1 species
ACCCUCCAGUAAAAGCAAAUGAUUCCCGCCUUCGCGAAGCCCAGCACAAAGAUGCAGAACUGGUCGCCAUUAUUACAGAUGUCGAGACUCCAGG